rnacentral:rRNA from 1 species
CCUGGUUAUUUGAGCGAUUUGGAACCACCUCUUCCCAUCCCGAACAGAGAAGUGAAACGAAUCAGCGCCGAUGAUACUCCGGCCUUCGGGCCGAGGGAAAGUAGGUCGUAGCCAGGG